rnacentral:misc_RNA from 1 species
GAAGAAGUAACUCUCUUCAAAACCUGUGGACAUAUACCUGCUGUAACAACGCCGUUCUUUCGGCGGGCUUGCCGCGGCUCCGGGCCUCCCUCAGGGGCGGUCUCGGCGCCUAGGCGCCCGCCGGAGGCGGCGAAACCAAACCCUUACUGUAUUCUAUGGCCUCUGUGAUUACAAAACAAAUAAGUCA